CGCCCACCUCGGCCUCCCAAAGUGCUGGGAUUACAGGUGUGAGCCACCGCACCCAGUGAACCCUGGAAAUAAUUCUAUCCAGUUCUUUCAUUUUGCAG
rnacentral:miRNA from 1 species